GCACUUGCUUAUAAAUACAAAUAACUCAGUGCAGAUUGGCUUGUCACCAUGCUGAGAAUAUAUGAAUAGUGAGUUGCGGUAUAAUACGAUAGUUUUAUACUGCAGCUUCUGGAAUGAUGUGAAUCAUAAACAGAAAGACGGAAACCGUCAAAACUAAAUAUAUGUACAAUAAUAUAUUGCCGUAAAACGCAAUUGCCAGAUCGCUGACAUAAUAGACGACUCCAGUGGAGUAAUAAUCGUGAUGCCUGUAUCGGUGGAAUGUUACAGAGAGAUAAGUAGCGAAAAUCCAAAUAAGUCAGUUGCGUCGUUGAUCGGAAGAAAUUCCAGUAUAAGAUCUGUCGAAUGUACGAGUAGCCCAAAGUGACGUGAGAUUAAUACAUAAAGAACAAAAAAAUUAAAUCUUAUUAUGAAUUUUCUUAAUACGCUGAAUGACAUGGGUGAAAGUUUCUCGUAAUCAGUCGAGGCUACAAUUGCUGUUUAUCAGAUGUAAAGGAAGUCUAAGGGUAGCUCCCUUAUUCUCAGCCCUUUACAAGUAGUGGCGGAAUAUUAUGACGAUAUAUUUGAGUAGGAAGAAGUUCCAUUUGUAUUUAUAAUCAAGU
ncrna:Ruminococcus gnavus ATCC 29149 ROOL RNA